AUUUCUCUCAAAUGGAGAUUUAGGUUUUUUUGUUUAUAGAUCUACAAAUCCGCAGAUUAUAGAGAAACAAUAUUGGAAGUAGAGGUUUCCUAAAAUCUGUAAUGGGAAAAGGAUUAAGGCUUUCCCAAAAAAAUUAUUGGAGAGCUUGUGUUAAUUAUCUUUAUAAUGACAUGGUAAAAAGUUCUAUUUGUAAAUAAACCUUGACGGUCAUUUUUUAUGUAUGUGAAUUUGUUUUGUUUUUGUUUUUGUUUUUGUUUUCUUUUUCUCAUUUUUUAUCCUCAUAUUAAGAGAGAAUUGUAUUGCUUGGAAAUAGCCAUUGUUUCUUACUGUAGUUUGAUGAUACAUCAUGAAAACAGGAUAAUAUGUUUAGAAAGUAAAUUUUCUAUUCUCAUUGGAUUCCAGUGAUGUUAUGUCAAAUGAUUUACUUCUUGUGAUUGAUGCGAUAGAUUCGUAUGAAGUGGUUUUGUGAUAUUUUUUCUGCUAAUUAAUGAGAAUUGAACGGUUUUGGUCUUUUUUCCAAUUUUUAUAAUAUUUAUCUUGAUAUAUUCUAACCUAAAGAGGGUGAUGUGUCGGAACUUUGGUAUUUUGGAGAAUGAUGAACUCAUGAUGUUGAUACUUAGGCUAUUCUUAUAAAUACGGUGGUGUUAAUUUUCUUGCACUUGUCAAUUGUUCCGACAUCAAAAGGGAAGCUAGUUUUUUUUAGAAAUGAAGGGUGAUCAAAGUGAUGGAGAUGAAACUUCCUCGUGUGGGAAUGAUUGGGAAGUUGUGUCACUGACUGCAUCAACAUAUGCUGCUGCACCUGGGCCAAAAGGAUCCAAGUCGUUCUAUGAUUACAAGAAUGAGGUAGUCACCAAUGAUGAGGAGAAAUCCUCUCCUGGAAUGUUCAUGUCCAGUCACUUUGUAUAUCCACCACAACAGCAUGAAAAUUUUCCAGUGGAGCCUGAUAACAAUGAAAUUCAUAAUGGACUUGGAGGAGAAGGUUUGGGCCAAGCAUGUGGGCUGGAGACGGUGGAAAGGGAUAGACCCAGCAAAACCGUGGAAGAAGAUUGGAUUAUCAAAGGAUAUUCUGAUGGGCAUGAGAUACAUGGAAUUCCUUUCUCAAGUAGCAAGAUAUUCAUGAAGCUAUUAACCUGGACAUCCUUUCUCAAAUGGAUGUAAAACUACCCAUGGAUAUCUUUGAAAAUGUCAUGGAACUCACAACAGAAGGAUGCAAAGCAGUUGCUCAUUACAUUCGGGAAGUGCUGUUAGAGAAUACCAAACAGUUGGAGUAUCGACAAAGCAUAUAGUUUCCGUCAGAUGCUUAAAUAUUGUUGGGAUUGGAUGCAUCCGGUAUGUACAGAAGUUUGAACUCUUUAGCAAUGCAAAUUACGAAAAGAGGUGGUCUUCCAUGACUUGCUUCUGUUUGGGAGCUAUGACCCAAAGCGGACUGUUUCUACGUAUCCUUCAGGUAAGUCAUAUUACUCAAAUUCUUUCUUAGAUACUUUUGAAAAAGUUUACUGACGUACAAGGAACCUUUAAUGCUAGUGCUUACAGCAUAAGGUUGUUCAAUACUUUGUGUCAGAUUUUGAUUUGGUUGUGGUAGUUAUUGCUGGAUAAUUUACAAAACAUAACCCUUCUAAAUAUUUCCUUAAGCUGGAUGGAAUUAAUAAACAAUGGGCUGUACGUACAGUCUACAUAUCACCACCAUUUGUAAAUGGUGGUGAUUCAUCACCACACAUGGGGACACACGUCUAUGACAAUCAUCCAAAUCACAUGCCUUAUUAGGGAUAGAGUACAGUCCAAAAAUCACGCUCAUUGGAUGAGAUCUUAACCAUAUAAGUUUGCCAUUGUAUUUGGAACCCUGACCAACUGAUUUUAGUUGUCAAUUAGAUGGUGCCACCAAUUGGGUUGUUAGGAUUGUCUUUAUAAUUUUCAGAUUAUGUUCCAUCCACAACGGGACAGGCAAUCUGGAUGGUGGCUGAGUUACCACUGUUUAGCAUAUGGUGGGGAACCAUCUUGUCCCAAAAAUUGACUCGUUCAUGGUCGACUGCAUCCACAUCAAUGUUGACAUUUAUUCUGUUGUUUUCAUUCUGUUCCCUGGUUUUCACAAUAGGCAGCAGUUGUCAUGGAUGAGUCACCACCACUUGGAAAUGGUGGUAAAUGGCCUGGCCUCAGAAAAUGGCUAGCCAAUGGUCUAUUGACUCUUAUCAGUUUGUAUUGACAUUUCUUCUGUUGUUUUCACUUCCUUGCAUGGAUAUCACAAUAAGAAAACUGUUGUUGCUUUCAAUAUUCUGUACAUGUGAAGCAUUCUUUUUGGGGUCGACUGCUUCCACAUCAAAGUAGACAGACUAUUGUACAGCUGCAAACACUUCUCAAAGCCUUCCCAAAGCUACUCUAGCAGGGCACAUGUUCCACAAUGACACACUGUAGAAGAUACUAGUUGUUCGUCAGGGUGGCACUGGCACACCAUGCAUGUACAUUGUACAAUUGCACAUAAACUAAGUAAUGGACCUUUGGAACCAAGAGUUUUAAGGACUGUGGUAUAGGCUAUAGAUAUGAAACCUUAGUUGGGACAUGUGGGGUUAGCAGCUCCUUAUUAUUUCUUGCUUCUUAUCGAACUUAUGAAUAGAGUAAUAUUUUCAGGUAUUGGAAAAUCUACUCGAGAACUCCAUCCCUUACCUGAAAUACGGCAACAAAAAAUACAGAGCUGUUCAUGUAUGAGAUCUGAUGCAUGUCUCUUGUGUUAAAAAGCAAGAGAAAGCACGAGAAGGGGUCGUCAAAAGGAAAGGCAGUCCAGCUGGCUUAUAGAGUAGAGAAGGAAAGGUAGUCCAGUCUUCAGGUAGCUUAGAUUUGCAGCAUGGGAGUUCUGAAAGUUCAAAUAUGAGAGAUGUUAGACAAGGUUCAAGCCCAAGUUCAAAAGUCAUUAGGUAGCUAGUCUUGUCACUAUUUGUACAUAUGUCAUCUCAUGAGCCUUACUUUUUGUAA